ensembl:lncRNA
CCCGUGCGAAGUAUGUCUGUGUGAUGUCACCGUGUCGGGGAUAUAGUUCCUCUCACUAGAAUAAAGAGAGUAGAGGAAAUCACGAUGAGGAUGGACUGUGCGCAACGCGUCCUAUCCAUGGGUUGUCGAUGGUGAAAUAUAUAUUUCGGGGGAGCGCAUUUAAAGCACAUUAUUGUAACAACCAUUUGUUCUACACAUUGGUGUCCGACUCCCUAGCUCCUGCUGAGUAGAGGGUAAGCACCAUGCUAUUCCUUUCACUCCCACCAUCAACACAUCCACCAGUCAACACCUGCCCUGAGAGACUACAUGACUGGCAGAAUAAUGAGCCAGCCUGGGGAAAUGUGUUGAUUAUGACACUUGGAGGGAAGAGAUUGCAGACAAAUUCCAGUCUUAAAUCUGUUGACUGCCUGCUCUAGUCUUUAGAAUCAUGUGUAACAUGUCAUUUCCAGACCCCAUCGCACAAUCUGUCUGACCUUCUCCACCAUAAUUAUUGUAUAAGUUUAGAAUGACUGUAGUGUAGGUGUCAGAUUACCGCCCAAACAGUGCCACUCAGCUUGGACCAGGCUGUUGUUGUCAACGGACUGCUGUGUUUUCUAAAGAGGAUACUAAAAGUAGAAGUGAAAUGUUGUUUAACACAUAUCCAGAGGGACAGCUGAAGUUGCAUGGGGACGUGGCGUUUACACCCCCCUCUCUGCUUCCUCUGGUCAGCACUUUGUCAAAUAGACUCAGUGCUCCUUCACCUCGCAACGCUAUACCAUUGUUAUGACUCUCUGGAAAGGUAAAAAGAAAUGGGAAGAACGCUGUUACCCUUUUCACCUUAGAGGUGGGGUUUGUAUGUCCUGAGCUGGUAGCUGCCUAUAGGCUUAUAUUCCUGCUAUCUGGAGGUUGUCCGGUGUUAGAUAUGCAAAUAUAACUAUUCAUCAUUCUUGUGGACCAGUGACCAUCAUCUGCCUGUCACUAAGGAUCUUAUGUCACAGUAGAUCAUUCCAAAUUGGUCAGUAUUGACUGUACUUUAAAAACAUGUAUUCAGGUAAUGAGUUUAGGUGCCUCCCAUUUGUAUAAUCCUGUUAAUUGUCUGAGUUGAUGACAGAUAAUUAGUAAUGCUGUCUGCCUACUAGUGUGUGUAAUUGCACACAUGAUGGGAAUGAAAAGGGCAGUUUGGUACCACUUAUUUCCCUGUUAUCAUGUUGUGUUGUAUCUACACAUCAAACGUUUUUCUCAGGAAUGUCUGAUAAAACAAAUGCAGAGAGAAACUGUGCUUUUUAUUGUAUCAAACAAGGAGGGUAAGCUGUAACCUGAUUAGAGACUCAUCAGGAGUUUGAUCGAAGACACCUCUACCUUAAAUCUCCAGAGACCAACUGUCUUUUAAAGAUGGCGUCUGAAAGGAUUAAGGCUUAGUCAGGUAAACGCUGACAAUAGGUGGAAUUUCAAUUUGGCCAUCUUUAACUACAGUCUGCCUGCUACAGGAAAGCGGUUUUGUUGUGGCUCAUGCUGUUUGAAGUUUUUUUUCUUCUGCUUCA